CCUACGGGAGGCAGCAGUGGGGAAUUUUGGACAAUGGACGCAAGUCUGAUCCAGCCAUGCCGCGUGCGGGAAGAAGGCCUUCGGGUUGUAAACCGCUUUUGUCAGGGAAGAAAAGGUUCUGGUUAAUACCUGGGACUCAUGACGGUACCUGAAGAAUAAGCACCGGCUAACUACGUGCCAGCAGCCGCGGUAAUACGUAGGGUGCAAGCGUUAAUCGGAAUUACUGGGCGUAAAGCGUGCGCAGGCGGUUAUGCAAGACAGAGGUGAAAUCCCCGGGCUCAACCUGGGAACUGCCUUUGUGACUGCAUAGCUAGAGUACGGUAGAGGGGGAUGGAAUUCCGCGUGUAGCAGUGAAAUGCGUAGAUAUGCGGAGGAACACCGAUGGCGAAGGCAAUCCCCUGGACCUGUACUGACGCUCAUGCACGAAAGCGUGGGGAGCAAACAGGAUUAGAUACCCUGGUAGUCCACGCCCUAAACGAUGUCAACUGGUUGUUGGGAGGGUUUCUUCUCAGUAACGUAGCUAACGCGUGAAGUUGACCGCCUGGGGAGUACGGCCGCAAGGUUGAAACUUAAGGAAUU
rnacentral:rRNA from 1 species